CCUGCAAAUAUAGAUACUGUGUUCAACUAAACAGUCCCAGGUUUCACACCAAGCAAGUAAAUUAAAACAAGAUCAGUAUAUUUUAAAACAUAUAUGGCAGUACUUCUCAAAAAUAUUACAUAUAAACAUGUAAAAAAUGUUCUGACGAAUAAUACCACUAGUAUAGUCAAAUAGCAGUUAACGGUCAUGAACUAGUUAAUAUUUUCUUUAUAUUUACCAUGUAUUAAAUAUAUAUUAAAAUAUACAUUAUAUAUAUAUUUUAGGGGGGGGGUCAGAGGCAGAGAGGAUGGGGGGGCAUGAAAACAUUUCUGUUCAAGGGAGGGGGCAUGACAAAAUAAUUGAGAACCGCUGCUUUUAGGCCACUUGUUUGGUGGUGCACCACAGGAAUUUUCAAAAUUAAGUAUUUGCUUAGCUCAAUAACAGGUUCGAAACACUCGUCUAAGCCUUACACUCUCACGACAUUGACCACAACAACUACACAGGAACAAUCUGUCGGAAUCUUUCUGUCACAAAAUAUGGAAAGGAGGCGCAAUUACUAGGUUUAUUUAUCAAACAGCUGCUCAGAUCCUUUGCAUUUGCUUAAGCACAUGUUUGGAUGUCUUGAAAGCUUCUGGUUCUAAUGCAACGCACUACUAAUUUCGUUUGGAUAUAAACGAUAACUAAGCUUGCUCUGUUCAGUUUGAAAACACUUAUGACGCCAAAAAGGACCAAGGCAUUAUUUACAAAUACGCAUUAGUCCCAGUGUGUAACUUUGAGGAUUGAUUAUUAGCAGGAACAUAAUAAACAAUAAGAAUUGCUGUGAUAUGAAUAUCGUGUGUUUGUUUGCUAAGGAUAGUAAUUGAAACUACAUUUAAAUUUUAGCAUUCGCAUUUCUCAGUAUGUUUACAGCCGAGCACUGCCAUUUUUAAUCCCACAAUAUUGUUCUUUGAAAAAUCCAACGAAAAGACUUGUACAGCGCUAUUGUUUUUUGUUAAGGUCAACAUUUAUCUUGACUUCACUGUGAAUCCUAUAUUCUGUCUGUCUUUAACAUCCUGUAAUUUUUAAAAUACUUCAUAUGCCAUAGAACUGGAAUAGAGAUUGAACAUACAAGUUUGACACUGUGACUUCAAUGUAAUUAUUCUGCUAUUGUUAAUAGUCAAACUGUACUGUUUUUCUUAGUCGAUUCAACCGGGUCAAAAUCCAUGUAAACCCAUUUUCUGUACUAACCACGUUACCAGCAGUAACAUGAUAACGCAAGGAGACAAGUUUUGCUUAAGUCUUCACAGACGGACGGAGAAGACACAUUAUUGUGCAUACGAUGGAAUAUUAUCCAAUUUCGUUUAUAUGGUCUGAUAAAUACUAUUUUCUAUCUCAUGUAAUUGUUUUUGUUUGUCUACACCACAGGCAUAACACUUAAAUACUCAACAGGUGGCUAUAAAAACAUUCAAAAAAGACUCGUCAACUUAUUUAAAAGCAUUAAAUAUGGCCUCAUAAAAACUUAAAUAAAAACCUCUUGUUUGAAAAUGACCUGAAAGAAAUACUCAUUGUGGAUCUUAAAACAGCCAUCUAAUUUAAAGUAUGCUCUCGCCUUUUAUUUACAUUUUAUAUACAUUUACUUUUCCCCGACAAAAAUUCUAGUCUAGUGUUCAGUUUGGUCAAUUUUCGCAUUACAUUUUUGACUAUUUUCUUACAACUUAAAAACGUCUGACCAUGUUUGUGCAAAAAAAAA